rnacentral:rRNA from 1 species
GUCGAACGGCAGCAUAGAGAGCUUGCUCUCUGAUGGCGAGUGGCGAACGGGUGAGUAAUAUAUCGGAACGUGCCUAGUAAUGGGGAAUAACUAGCUGAAAGGUUAGCUAAUGCCGCAUACGACCUACGGGUGAAAGCAGGGGAUCUUCGGACUUUGCGUUAUUAGAGCGGCCGAUAUCUGAUUAGCUUGUUGGUGGGGUAAUGGCCUACCAAGGCGACGAUCAGUAGCUGGUCUGAGAGGACGAUCAGCCACACUGGAACUGAGACACGGUCCAGACUCCUACGGGAGGCAGCAGUGGGGAAUUUUGGACAAUGGGGGCAACCCUGAUCCAGCCAUUCCGCGUGAGUGAAGAAGGCCUUCGGGUUGUAAAGCUCUUUCGCAAGAGAAGAAAACUUGCUAUCUAAUAAAUAGUAAGUAUGACGGUAUCUUGACAAGAAGCACCGGCUAACUACGUGCCAGCAGCCGCGGUAAUACGUAGGGUGCAAGCGUUAAUCGGAAUUACUGGGCGUAAAGCGUGCGCAGGCAGUUUUAUAAGUCAGAUGUGAAAUCCCCGAGCUCAACUUGGGAACUGCGUUUGAAACUAUAAGACUAGAGUGUGUCAGAGGGGGGUAGAAUUCCAAGUGUAGCAGUGAAAUGCGUAGAGAUUUGGAGGAAUACCAAUGGCGAAGGCAGCCCCCUGGGAUAACACUGACGCUCAUGCACGAAAGCGUGGGGAGCAAACAGGAUUAGAUACCCUGGUAGUCCACGCCCUAAACGAUGUCUACUAGUUGUUGGUGGAGUAAAAUCCAUGAGUAACGCAGCUAACGCGUGAAGUAGACCGCCUGGGGAGUACGGU